GUGUGCACGAGCUCGUGUCGGCUGGAGGGAGGUGUGGAUCCACUACCCUUUGCUAAGGGCCACCUUGCUUCCCCAUAGGCAGAUACGUGCUCUUGCACAUGGCCUGGCCAUCUGCAGUCUAAUUCACCCUGCAUCUCACCUGAUGCCAUACCUCCCUUCCCUAAAUAAAAGAGCUGGGAAGCAGCAUGGCAUUGAGAACCAGCCCUGGGUAGCAGAUCAGAGGAGCCUGAGCUCACAUGGUCACACUAGAUGUUAAGCAGGCUUAUUUCCCCUGUGCUCUCCCAUGCUGUCCCAUCUGCACAGGCUGGUAUCUGCAUCCUUGCUUCCUGUUGAUCACACACACUUCAGUGACCGCACUGAUGGCAUCCAUCAACCAGUCAAGGCUCUACAUGUCUCCAGACAGCCGUUAUUCCAAUUCCACAUCGCUACCCUGGAAAAAAAGUCCUCAGCUCCUCUCUAGAGAGGGGUGGGAAUCAAAACAUUGACAACAAUAUACGGCCACAGCUACUAAAGUAACUUUACUGAGGAUGGGCUCGUGCCUAGCUGUACCCUGUGCCCUUUCAGUUUGCCUGAAGAGGGCAUGUGGCUCCUCUGUUCCUGUCUAAACACACAGGAAACCGGCCAGCUGCAUGAUCUGACGCUCUAAAUUUGAGCAGCAUCUUCACUGCUUCAUCCUGCCUCUGCAGAGCAGGCAGCGAGCACGCACCUGCAGCUCCGGUUUUGCCUCUUGCUGAGGUCACCAGUUUGUCAUCCGCAGCCCUGAAUGCUGCGCAGCAAGGAGGAGCACGUCUGCGAGUGCAUUCCUGCAGAAGAGGGGAAAUGCAGGGUGGAGCAGCAACCAGCAGCUGACACUGUUUGCUAUGCACUUGCUCACCACGAGGCUCAGGACGCUGCCCGCUCCUUGAAUGUUUCCUUGAUUACUUAUUCCCAGCAUACUCACACACACAAACACACACUCACCCGCUUCUCUCAGAAGACUGGAAGGACGGGCUACCAGGAAAACAAUAGCAUUUCUCCCACUCGCAGCUGUGUGACAUUUGUUUUUGUUUCUCCAGGUGGCUUUUCUGUGCUAGCAGAACAUCUCACUCCUCAGAUUUUGACUUCUCUUGCCUCUUCUUGUCGGUGUUGGACACGGCCAUCAGUAGACACAGUUCUGAGCAAUCACCGAGGAAGGUUUUUCUUAUGCACUGUGGUAAUUGUGUCAGAACUCAAGGCAGUCCCACCGGUGUUCAGGUUUCAUCUGCCAUUCCCAGAGGAUUUCAUUACUCCCGCACAACCCUUUUUUCCUAGCAAGAUUUCACAUUGCCAGCGUGGACUUACCAAAUUGAUUCCCCGGAAGAAAAUAUCACGAUUAUAUUCACAAAGCUGAGAGGAAGACAGCCACUUUUUAUUCGCUCAUAAAGGAUGUGGGAGUCCUGGGUUUAAUUUCCUCCUCUGCCUGGGGGAACUAGAACCAGCAUCACUUAUCUCCCAAGAGAAUGCCAUAAGGUUGUGCUGUGCUGCAUACUAAGGUGGGUUGUUCUUACUCCUCACCACUUAUGUGUCCUCUUUCCAGACCCCAGUAGAGACACUCAUGGACACAAUUCACCUGGCUUCCCCAGUCUGUGCUAAUGAGUAUUGCGCUACUAAGGAAUAUGAAAGUGCCAUUGGCAGAGCCUCUCCCAGGGUACCCCUGCUCUUGUGACUGUGGUAUUCUCCUGGAAAAGAAGAAGGGUAGACAGGGAAGCAGAAGAGGGCAUUGAACAUCCUACGCAAGCACAUCAGGCAAACGCAUGUGCUAAAGUUCACAGAGGUGAGAAAGUGCAGCUCAGUCUGCUGGAGAAAAUUACUUGGAGAAGUCAGCACAAGUUAAAGAUGGGAAGACCAAAUUAGUUCAAUCAGAAAGUCUUCCUAAUAUUAACCAAGGACUGUGCUGACAUCAGGCCUGAUGUACAAGAUAAAUGCCAAAAUCAAUGGACCAAAACUCAUGUGCCAGGAGCUAAAGCCAACUGGUGACUGGUGGCAUGUACAUCAUCCUCUGGGGUACAUCCAUUUUGAUACUGAUCCUAGAAUAGGUGGACAGAAAGGAGACAUGCUGACAGCUGUCGUUGUCAACUUCGAGAUCUAAGUCUCUGCUGUGACACUGUUGGUAUUUCAAGGAACAUUUGGACGUUGUGUUGAAGGACAUGGUUUAGUGAGAACCACUGGUGACAGGUGAAUGGUUGGACUGGAUGAUCCUGUGGGUGUUUUUCAACCUUUGUGAUUCUAUGAUUCUACACUUACUUGAUCUGGUCAGACCUUCUGGUGAGUUUCUGGUGAGGAGAUACAUGGGAGUCAUCGCUAUGUCCACCAAUUUCAGUGCAGUCCUGGAAACCCACUUGGAAGGGAAGACUUGGGGUCCUGAAGCCACCCUUCUCUCAGUAGCUUUGCAGUCUUUUCACAUGCUUCUCUGCCUUUUCUUUCUUUUACCUUCCUUUUAAUCAAACUAUCCUAGAUAGGAGGGUACGGGUUGUACAACACAGCUGUGAACUGCAAUCAAGGAGACAACCAAAAGCAAUGUCUAAAUGAGACAGACGCUGAUAUAAAUCCCCUUGAUCAGAGAGGGGCUGAUAAGUCCAUGUGUUGUGCUUGUCUUUUUCUAGCAGUGAGGCUGCAAGUAAAAGUCAACACCUGAAGAGGAAGUAAUAAUUUUUGUCUUUGCUCUCCUUUCCUCUCCCCUCCUGCAUGCCUGUGUCUUCAAAUGAGCAAAGCAGAAUCCCAAAAUGAGUACUAACAGCAGAUCCAGUCUAUCUCAAUGAGUGUCUCCCAAAAAACAGUGAGUGCUGCUAUGACCUUAAAUAAAGGGAGGGAAGCACUGCUACAAAAACUGUUGACAGCUAAGGGAAGAGGGAUAAUGGACACUUUUAAAGCAUAAAGUCUUAUUUUUCAAGUGCUUAAACUGUUUUUUCUCCUUUUUUGUGUAUCUUUAAUUAAAGAUUAAAAGACUUCUAUUGGUGAUUGUUUGCCAUGGUAACCAAGUAGGCUGAGGUCUCUGUAUUCAAAACCCCAAACCUUUUUAAGUGUUUAAUGUUGCAGAGUGUCUGGGUCGUGUUAGCAUCUUUCACUCAUUGAGCCCACUCCUUCCCCAGAACCUCACAGGACUGUGCCCCGUUGGCCACCAGACUAGAGGGACAGCCUCUCAGCUCCACUAUCCCCCUGUGAGUGGGAUCCCUUCUUCUCACUUCUCUUUUGGGUGCUUGAAUGUUUUGCUUUCAAUUAAAUGCAAUUUUCACUGUGAAAUACAGCUAUUCCUUUGCAGUUUUUCAGCAAGAGACAUAAAACCUAACCAGACUCAUCUGUUCCUACUGAGGUGAUGUUUUCUUCUUUCCUGCUGAACCAAACAGCACUUAUUCAUAUCUCGCUGCUAUUUUUAAGAGUGGGGCCCAGCUGUAUGGCAUUCAGAAGCACCACUAAAACUUCAACAGCAGAGUACACAUCAUAGUACAUUCUGGUUAGAGAAAUGACUGGCAGUCAUUUUUGCAAUGAGUGCUGUCUGUAUCGAUGCAUGUGUGCGUAUUUAUUACAUUAGUCACCUCCGCUACUAGAAUGACUUGCAAUUAAGAUUGCUGUAGUACCUGAAAUGUCACAUUGCUUGCCUUCAUUCUGAAAGGGGCACUGCCUUAACCAGAUAAAGCAAAGAGAGACAUAUGAGGGCAUGACCAGACUUAUCCUUAUAACCACAUUAGAAUGGCUGGAAAUGUUACCACUUCUCAGCAGAGAAGUAUAUUUUAGCUGGGACAGAGUCACUGGCCGCAUGUAAGCUCUCAGUCUCUUGAACUGCAAAGCAAGAUGACUUUCAGACGUGAAAGGAACUAACCCAUUUCAUUUUGCAUUUGCCAUACAUGCCCAUAGGGUUCUCACAUCUUCGCUGAGAGACAACCACCUCCAACCACAGUGGCACACAUUUCCUAAGUUCUUAUAGUGUGACACAAAGAACAUAAGCUGAUACGCAAACACAGUAAUUAGUAUAGGAGUACCCACCUGGCUGAUGCGCUGCAUCCGUUUGCUUGUGCUCAGAGGUUGGUAUGAGCUUACAUUUUAUCUCACGUGUGAAGUGUGGAGCCAGGACCUGCCCCUCCAGCAGGUUAUGGCAUGUGCUCGCUGCUUGGGCCUCCCAGGAACUCCAGCAGGUCACUGAGAAUCACAGUGCAAGGCACCAACAGUCCUGGUCUUUGUUCACAAGGCCCUUUCCUUCGAACAGCAUAGAAAAACAAUCAGAUCACUUACUGUCAGUGGGCAGCGUUGAACCCUGAAUAUUGGGAUGGCUGCAUGGCAUAGACAAGCCGUUCAACUUACUCUUUUGCUCUUCUGAACUAAUCAACUCGGAUGGUCAAACUGGCACAAAAGUACGUUUUCUUGUAUUUGGUUUGGUUAUUUUUUUUCCCCCACAGGACUCAUUCGCUUAUGUCAAUCAACUUGAAACAAAAUCAAAGACAAGUUUCCAUGUUUGUGGGUCUCCCGGAGAGGAAAAGGCAGUAAGCAUGUUUGCUGCUAUCCUUUUUCCUUUCAAAUGUUUGUAUUUCAUGAAUUACUCUUGCCACAAAAGUGUUCAUAGUAAAUGCAGAGGAAAGAACAAGAUUACCUGCUUUGAACGCCAUCAGAUUUACGCAUUUGGACAGGAUCUCAUCUGCCAGGUGGUAGAAGAACUUCUGAGUAACUACAAUGAAGUACCCAAGCCAAAGGUUUGGAAAAUUGAUCUGCAGGUAGUACUUAGGGUGACUUAUAUGCUCGUUCAGGCUGCUGUGCUGGUUUCGGGUAGGACAAAACACUCUUUUCUUCUUCUUUUUUUCUUCCAAAAACAUUGUCAGUUCCCUAUAGGCCUGCUCUGCAGGGCUCUAUGGCCAGUUUCCCUAUCGUCUUAAAACAACCCUCCAAACACCUGCUAUCUUUCAAACACCUUUUAUUUCGUGCGCCAUAGUAUGAAGUUUUUGUGUGGUUGUGGAAGUCCUUAGUGAAUGUCAGUGGUAGUCUCUGAAAACACCUGACUAAGUAGGAACCAUCUAACCCUUGGGAGCUAUUGACUGCUGCCUCCAAGGGCGUAAUUAGCAAGUGGCAGAACUUGCCAUGCAGGUCAUGUUUUACAAGAUCUCACAGUAUCGGUAUUGAUUAUGAUUAGAUUAGAUUGGGCUGAUGGUAAAUGCUUAUUUAUGAGAUUUUCAGGCAAAUAGUGAAUAUCUUGUCAUGAGCAUCACCAAAUAUGCUUUUCACACAACUCUAGGAUGAGUUAUAAACUUCAUAUAUGCAUGUGCAUGUGUAUGAUAGAAGAGAGAGGACAAGCCACAGAAAGGCCAGGAUCCUGUAUUUAACACCUUACAAGCUGAAGGCACAAAUGAGUUCAACACACCAAGAGGGAAUUUCACACUAAAAAGAGCAGCUUUUGGAAACCCCUAUUCUGCACUUUCCUGCCAGCCGAUGGCACAUAUAAGGAAGAUGGCAGCAAAUACAAUCGGGCUGGCACACCAUGUGUUAUUGCCUUGACACUGAUUGUAAGGAGAUUUUCACACACUUGCGCAAGGGAGAAUGUUAUUUUUCAGUCCUUCCAAAUAUGUCGGUGGUUUUCUGAACCCUUAAAACUCCAUGCAUCUGUUAGAAAAUGUCUGUUUUAUUCCCAGCUGGUUUUGCUGCUCAAGCCAGGGUGCCUGCAGCCUGCUAGAUGUGCUGGAGCAUUCACAGCGUCUGCACGCAGCUGCGGACAUGACGGAGGACCUAACAGAUACCGUGCCUUUGUAAAGCUGCCGCUGAAGGGAGACCUGAAGUAUCUCAUAUAUCUCUUCUUGCCUACGGUUAGGCAGCUGAAUCCUACCCAUUUCUUAUUUUCAUUUCCACUUGGAUUUCCUGACGUCUUCUUUACCCUCCCCUUUCUUAUUCCUGCUUCUUCAGCAACAAAGCGGGAAAGGUCUAUAAGGAGGAGAGAGAAAGAACUUAAAAAAAAAAUAAGGAACAUUUGUUAAUUUCAGAAGGAAUCAGAAUCGUAUAAAGUCUUACCACAAAAUAAUUUAUUUGGUUUAAAGAGCUUUAUCCUUUUUUUUUUCUUCUGGUUCUCACAACACCAGUGCAGCUUGGAGCCUCCUUAGCGGUCUGGAAGACAAGUCAGAGGGCCACGAGCAUUGAUGCUGUUGCUGACCUCCUGCAUGGCCUUGGUUGCCCCACUUUGUCUUCAGAGGAAUAGCAGAACAAACCCCCUGUACAGUUCCAUAAAGAUUUGAGGUAUUUUAAGUACAGGUUCUCUUAUAUGCCUGUAAGAAUUAUUUCAAAACCUCACGUAAGAGAAGAGGUGGUUUUACUGGCAAAUGAGCAUAGAAAAUGAGAGUAGAAAUUGCCCUUCUAGCAAGAAAGACAGCAGAUCUUCAGACUGUGAAGUCUGUGGGUGUUUGUGUGUGUCUGUGUGCAGCAGGGGAUGAAGCAAUAAUUUACUGCUUUCCAAAAAGCAGCAGAUGGAUCUAACUGCCUCGGUAUUGGAAGCCCUUGGUCCUGGAGUCAUUGAUUUGGCUAAGCCCUCUUUCCAGCCAUUGCUCAAUGCAAAGUGAUGGCCACAGCCAGACCUGCCCCUGGAGGUAGCACUGGGGAGCAGUGAGGUUCUGUGGCAGAGGAUCUGGGGCUCACCACUGGCCAAGGGCCAUGCAUGCCUCUGUAGGAAAGCUCCAAUAGAAGUUACCAUCCUGCCUUGAGAAAUCAGGCCAUGGAAAGAGAAAGAAGCUGGGUUCCCACCAGCGUUUCAAACCCAUGAAAUAUUAUAGGCUCCAGAAAGCAGAUUUAUGCAGUUCACUCUGAUAAGGAAAGCUCCAUUGUGAAACUUCUGUUGCUGUUUUCAUAUUUGAACGCCUUUAAUUUUCUUUUCCUUUGAGGUUUUAUCUUCUCUUUGGCAUGAGGCAGUGCCAAUUCCCAGGUGCUCUGCCAUUAGGGAGGCCAAGCCUUGACGGAAACACCUCGCCCAGAGAAAGCUGACACUGAGGGCUCUCUGAUGCCCUUCAGGCAAAAUGCAGCGGCCCUCUGUUUGCUGCAUAGUUGGCAACAGAAGCAGUCCUGGUGAUGGGAGAGGCUAGCAAAGAAAGGAGUUGUGGCCCAGGUGCAGAUGACAGGCCAACUGUUAGUUGUCACUUGUUGCUUCACCUACUAUGAAGGUCUGGGCAGGUGUGAAACAGCAGGGAGCUGGGCACUCAUCUCUGUGCCCGCUGCCUCUACUUGCAAGCCCACCAGUGACCCUCUAGGGCCAUUGCCCAGCCCUUACAGACCCGUGGAUCCAGGCAGGGAAGAGCAAGCAGCUGUUUUUCUUCCCCAGCACGGGAACUUCAACCAGUGUGAUCUGUCAGGCUGCUGUGAUCCCAC
ensembl:lncRNA